AGAUGAGUUCUCCCUGAGACUUUAGGUCUCCUGAAGGAACGUUGAAGACGACGACGUUGAUAGGCCGGGUGUGUAAGCGCAGCGAUGCGUUGAGCUAACCGGUACUAAUGAACCGUGAGGCUUAACCUU
rnacentral:rRNA from 2 species